GAGGGAAAGUUGAAAAGAACUUUGAAGAGAGAGUUCAAAAGGGCGUGAAACCGCUUAGAAUAAAACGGACGGAACCGUCUGAAGCCUUCGGGAAUCAGUCGAACGACGCGCGAACGCGCUCGGGUAUAACGGAACGUAAAAGUCCGGCUCGAGUGGUCUAGUAGUCGCGUUCGUAAGGCGCAUUUCUCGAGGGUUAGCGUCGCGACCGAUGCGUACGGCCGGCGAGAUCGUCGGGUUGAGGGCGAAACCCUUCGCGGGUCUUCGUAACCAGCCUGGCGGUUUUUUUGUUCGCCGGACUAAAAGCAGCAUCGAGCGUCUAGCGAAUUUAUGACGUCGGCGUAAACGCGCUCGCACGAACGAUGGACAGUCGGCCGAUUGAUCGACGCCUGCUCGCAGGCGCUCGGUCAACGCGAGGUCGGCUUUCGAAGUCGUCGGCGACGUACCGACGUUAAGGCGUCCGCGGCGUCCGAGUCGGUCACCCGUCCGACCCGUCUUGAAACACGGACCAAGGAGUCUAACGUACGCGCGAGCUAAUGGGUGGAAAACCUAUAAGCGCAAUAAAAGUAAAAACCGUCUUCACGGCGGUCGAGGUACGAUCCCGGAGUACGUUAAAAAUACUCUACGGGCGCAGUACCGUCCCGUCCUGACCGCUUGUCGGUAGGGCGGAGACAGAGUGCAUACGUUGGGACCCGAAAGAUGGUGAACUAUGCCUGAGCAGAGCGAAGCCAGAGGAAACUCUGGUGGAGGUUCGUAGCGGUUCUGACGUGCAAAUCGAUCGUCAGAC
rnacentral:rRNA from 1 species